rnacentral:lncRNA from 1 species
ACAAGCUGACUAGUCAUUUUGGUGUGGAUUGAGGUGUUAAUAGGAAAAAUGAAUAGGAAUUUAAAGAGUUGUAAAGCUUUAGCAAAUAUGCACUAUUUUCAAGUGUCUGUGAAUGAGUGAGAGGGAACAACAAAGUUGGGUGGAAAAGAGGAACAAAUGGGUUUGAGAGGAUAUUGGUAAAAGCUUGGAGAUCUUUGGUGGGUGUGGGUGAUAUGCAUGCUUUUAGUUGUUUCUUUUUUCUUUUUAGUGCACAUAUAGCCAAAGGAAUGCUUGUUCUAAUUCUCAAAAUCUAUAAGGUAUCCAUUAACCCAUAUAGGCAUGAU